GAUGAACGCUGGCGGCGUGCCUAAUACAUGCAAGUAGAACGCUGAAGGAAGGAGCUUGCUCUUUCCGGAUGAGUUGCGAACGGGUGAGUAACGCGUAGGUAACCUGCCUGGUAGCGGGGGAUAACUAUUGGAAACGAUAGCUAAUACCGCAUAACAGUAGAUGUUGCAUGAUAUCUACUUAAAAGGUGCAAUUGCACCACUACCAGAUGGACCUGCGUUGUAUUAGCUAGUUGGUGGGGUAACGGCUCACCAAGGCGACGAUACAUAGCCGACCUGAGAGGGUGAUCGGCCACACUGGGACUGAGACACGGCCCAGACUCCUACGGGAGGCAGCAGUAGGGAAUCUUCGGCAAUGGACGGAAGUCUGACCGAGCAACGCCGCGUGAGUGAAGAAGGUUUUCGGAUCGUAAAGCUCUGUUGUAAGAGAAGAACGAGUGUGAGAGUGGAAAGUUCACACUGUGACGGUAUCUUACCAGAAAGGGACGGCUAACUACGUG
rnacentral:rRNA from 1 species